AUGUUAAAACUUAAAACCCUAAUUUACCUUGCGCCGCUCCCCUCUUUUUCCCUCAUCCUUUUCGGCUUUUUUGGCUGUAACAGAAACCCUCUCCAUUUCUCUCUAAAUUCUCAGCCUCCACAGAUCUCAAAAGGAGAAUCUAAGAUCAGAUCUAGAUCUAUAGAAAAAUCAUUCGCUCUCAAAUUUCAAUCUCUCAGAAAUUCAGAAACGCUCAAUGGCUCAAUCUCAUUCAAUCGCUCUCAAAUUUCAAUCUCCACAAUCAAAUCGUUCUCAAAAUUCAGAAAUUCGUUCUAUGAAUCUUGCUCAAUCGCUCUCAAAAUUUCAAUCUCACUCUCUAUCCGCAAGUUAAUUUUAGUGAUUCGGUCUGAUUUUCUAGCCGUGCGAUGAAAUUGAAUCAAUCUUCUCAGAUCGGUGAGUUCGUAAACCCUAACCAGCCUCGUUCUUCUCCAAUUUCCAGUGUGGGUCGCGGAAAAGAAACUCAAUGGUGGUGAUUUACCAGCGAAGUAGUGAAAAAUGAACUCAAGUCAAAAGUUUGUUUUCAGAUGGAGAUUCAGACAGAUCAACUAUAACAAUGUGCAAGAGCUACUUCAACAAGUUUUGAUAAGGAGGAGAACAACCUUUCAUGGGACACUUGCAUUUUAUUUUUAUGUAAAUAUUUUAGUGAUAAUAUUUGUAAGGCUCUGUAUAUUUCAAACUACAAUUUAAAUAUUAAUUUAUUUAUUUUUUGAAUUA